CGAACAAGAUGACUAAAACUCUGUCUAUCCAAUACAUCAAUUAGUAUCCUCACCAAACCAACCGUUCCUAGCGCAAGUGGCAAAAGGGCUUGGUGGUUGGUACCUGCGACCUAAGUUCGAAUCAUAGUUGAUUCGCAUUUCCAGCUUAGUUUAUUUUUAAAUGAAGUAAACGAAGCGGAUAGCAUGCUACCUUUCUUUCAAAAAAAUAUAUAUAUAUCCUCACCAAAUAUUCUAGCAAAUAGAAACUAUACCGACA
rnacentral:lncRNA from 1 species